AGAAUCGGAGUCCCUUUUUGAGCAUGACUGUAUUGUAAAAGCGUGGAACUAUCAUGAGAUCUUCUACACACUCAUCGAACACUACAUGUUUGAGCUUCGAAGCCCAUAAGACCCUGAUGGCAAAAGGGCUCGCCCAGAAACCAAACAACUUGACCUCGGCCAUCUGCUGGUUUUCUUUCGGCAAACGCUACUAUGAUCUUAUUCUGAUAUUUCUAAUUUGUGGAGAUUAGAAUAGAUUGAAAAGGAGACGAAUGAAACAUAAUGUCAGGGGAGAGUCUGAAGUCUUUAGUUGCCUGUGUUUUAAUGAUCUGUGAUAGGAUCUAAGCUUCAUAAUCAGGAAUCGUUUUGCUUUUCUGAAGUUGGUUUCUGUCGUAAGGCAAUUCAUCGGCACAAGAACCUCAUCACUCUCUAUGUAUCUGGAUUUUGAAUGGAGAGUUUCAACAUGUAUGAACAAAUAUUCUCUCUGUUUGUAUUGUCAUUGCAAACUGUACUGAGCAUAUUCACAGAGUAAUACAACGCAAGCAUAAAUUAUGCUUUAUUA